UACAGAGACUGCAAGCGUUAUUCGGAUUCACUGGGCGUAAAGGGUGCGCAGGCGGCCGGGUGUGUCAGAUGUGAAAUCCCGAGGCUCAACCUCGGAACUGCGUCUGAAACUACUUGGCUAGAGUAUUGGAGAGGGUAACGGAAUUCACGGUGUAGCAGUGAAAUGCGUAGAUAUCGUGAGGAACACCAGAGGCGAAGGCGGUUACCUGGACAAUUACUGACGCUCAGGCACGAAAGCGUGGGGAGCAAAAGGG
rnacentral:rRNA from 1 species